rnacentral:rRNA from 1 species
UACAGAGGGGGCAAGCGUUAUUCGGAAUUAUUGGGCGUAAAGGGCGCGUAGGCGGUCAGCACAAGUCAGUUGUGAAAUCUCCGGGCUUAACUCGGAAAGGUCAACUGAUACUGUGCGACUAGAGUGCAGAAGGGGCAACUGGAAUUCUCGGUGUAGCGGUGAAAUGCGUAGAUAUCGAGAGGAACACCUGCGGCGAAGGCGGGUUGCUGGGCUGACACUGACGCUGAUGCGCGAAAGCCAGGGGAGCGAACGGG